rnacentral:rRNA from 1 species
GUCGACGGCAGCGCGAGAGAGCUUGCUCUCUUGGCGGCGAGUGGCGGACGGGUGAGUAAUAUAUCGGAACGUGCCCAGUAGCGGGGGAUAACUACUCGAAAGAGUGGCUAAUACCGCAUACGCCCUACGGGGGAAAGGGGGGGAUCGCAAGACCUCUCACUAUUGGAGCGGCCGAUAUCGGAUUAGCUAGUUGGUGGGGUAAAGGCUCACCAAGGCAACGAUCCGUAGCUGGUUUGAGAGGACGACCAGCCACACUGGGACUGAGACACGGCCCAGACUCCUACGGGAGGCAGCAGUGGGGAAUUUUGGACAAUGGGGGAAACCCUGAUCCAGCCAUCCCGCGUGUAUGAUGAAGGCCUUCGGGUUGUAAAGUACUUUUGGCAGAGAAGAAAAGGUAUCCCCUAAUACGGGAUACUGCUGACGGUAUCUGCAGAAUAAGCACCGGCUAACUACGUGCCAGCAGCCGCGGUAAUACGUAGGGUGCAAGCGUUAAUCGGAAUUACUGGGCGUAAAGCGUGUGUAGGCGGUUCGGAAAGAAAGAUGUGAAAUCCCAGGGCUCAACCUUGGAACUGCAUUUUUAACUGCCGAGCUAGAGUAUGUCAGAGGGGGGUAGAAUUCCACGUGUAGCAGUGAAAUGCGUAGAUAUGUGGAGGAANUACCGAUGGCGAAGGCAGCCCCCUGNNAUAAUACUGACGCUCAGACACGAAAGCGUGGGGAGCAAACAGGANUAGAUACCCUGGUAGUCCACGCCCUAAACGAUGUCAACUAGCUGUUGGGGCCG